rnacentral:rRNA from 1 species
UCUAAACUACAAAGGGUAAUACUUUUUUGGAAACCUAUGCUCUUUGGCGGCCUUUUUUCUUAUUAGAGGAACUUGUUCAUUAAUCGAAAUUACCCGUUCAUUUUCUCUUUCAAUAUUGUUUUUAUACCGUCGUCUUAAGAAUAUUGUUGAACAAAUUAUUCUAAUUUGAAUAUCCAGGUAAGUCAGAUCAAGGUGAAGCUUAUUUUAAAGUUCCGAAUGAGUUAUAUAUUAGCAUUACUAAAAGAUUUUUCUUUAAAAAGUUAAUUUGAAUUAAGAUUUAACAGUACUUAUUAAUUAAAAUGUUGUAAAGAAGAAGUGAAAAAAGGUGU